UGACAUUCAUAUUAUUCAUGAGAGUAGUAAUUCAUAUUGUCCGUGCCCGAAAAUUGGAAUGGACUUACAAGGCUGAAAAACCUGUUAAUCGCUGUCUGCUGAAUUUUAACCGCUUGCUUCUCGUAAUCUGAGCCGUCAAUCGCCUCCAAAUAAAUUCAUGUAUUCCUCUUACUUUGCUGGUAUUUCAAAUCAAUUCGUUGCCGAUGGUGGUUUAGGGAGAAUGGCUGGAGAAAGCAGGAGUUUACGAAAAGGAAAAGAUGGAUAUAUAUUUACUUACAGGGACCUAUUUUGUUAUUGCAGAUUGGAGUUUCUGAUACUGCACAGUUAGUAGAGGAACUACAGGAAGGUAGAAGAUGAAAUGCCUCCCGGAUCACAGCCACGUGAUGUGACAACCCCUGUGAAAAAACGAGGACAGACGGUCUGACAACCAUAGCUUAGUGAUAAACAGAGUUGUCUCCCUUCUUGGACAGGAAUGCAUAACUCGAGCGUAGGAGAACUUGAACGAUGCUUACCCAUGGGAAUUUUUUAGUUAAAGAAUUUCCUAAAGAUCAGAUGAUGGUCAGGUUCCGAAAGGGACGAACUAGUCUCCGGAUAAUGACCUAUAAACCACUUGACAAUCCGGAUCAUGACGUCACUUUUUGGAGCAGCUGAACUAGGACAUCACAACACUGAUCACUGGUGAGGGCUAACAUCAGGAUAAGCAAACAAAAGGAAAACAAGAAAACAACUUGAAAUGUACAACAUUUACAAAAAAUGUCAACAUUUACAAUUCGAGUGGCAAGGACUAACGUCAGGAUAACAAACCUCCAACAGUGCAGCGGUUACGGAAAAUGGCACGAUCUUAAUAUGAAAUAAACAAUUUGAUGAUUUAUUUACGUUUACCUUAUCAAAAGUUUUCAAGUUAAAACAUCUGGUUGUAUGUUAAAUUGUUGAUAUGCAGUUCACCUCCGUGUGGGUAGGUGUGAUAUCCGAAUAUUCCAUUUGUUGUGAAUGAUGUGUACCUUUCUCGGGCGAGUGCUAACGUCAGUAUAAAACAAGUUUGUGAUAUCAAUGUGCUCGCAUUUUUGUCCUGAUAAAUAUGGAACUCAGUAGAAUGACCAAGGUGAAGGAUCUUGUGCAAGCAUUUGAUAAUCGUGACGUUACAUUAAACGGCUCCAUGUGAACGAAAAGGAAGUGACGUCAUCAUACAGUAGUUAUCUCUGACAAAUGGUCAAUUUUGUUUGGCCGACAUGUUGGAUAUCAACAUUUUUUUGUGAUACAAAUAAAUUACUUAUACCGUCCUAUUCACUCAUGUUACAUUAUGGUAUUAUAUCUAUUUUUGACAUGUUUAUUUUAAUUACAUGUUGAUUUCAUACACAAAUAUUUAUAUCAAUAAAAG